UACGGAAGGGCAAGCGUUGUUCGGAAUCAUUGGGCGUAAAGGGCGCGUAGGUGGUUCUGUAUGUCUACCGUGAAAGCAUACAGCCCAACUGUAUUUGUCGGUAGAAACUGCAGGACUUGAGGCUGGGAGGGCUGGUGGAAUUCCCUGUGUAGCGGUGAAAUGCGUAGAGAUGGGGAGAACACUCGUGGCGAAGGCGGCCAGCUAGACCAGUUCUGACACUGAGGCGCGACAGCGUGGGGAGCAAACAGG
rnacentral:rRNA from 1 species